rnacentral:rRNA from 2 species
GAUUUCUGAUGUGACGGGCCUGUCCCGCCGUGGUUACACGUGUGAGUGACGGGUUCCGUCCGUCUGUCUUCCGUGUGUGUCUACCGGUCAUGGUUCGCUAUGAUCGGUCGAUCGCUCGGAUCUUUUACUUUGAACAAAUUAGAGUGUUUCAAGCAGGCGUCAAGCCCUGAAUACAUGAGCAUGGAAUAAUCACCGAGGACUGAGGUUCUGCGUUGGUUGGUUCGAGAACUGCAGUAAUGAUGGAUAGGGAUAGUUGGGGGUGCUAGUAUUCCGAGGCCAGAGGUGAAAUUCUUGGAUUCUCGGAAGACUCACUUAGGCGAAAGCAUU